rnacentral:hammerhead_ribozyme from 1 species
AUCCAGGUGACGAGUCCUAAAUAGGACGAAAUGCGCAUUAUGCUGUAU